UCGAACAAACAGACAAGUAGGCCGUAAGGUGAAGCAGCUUUUCGUUUCAUUCCGUUCCCAUAUAUGGGGCACUACACUCUUUUUAUUCCAAUAAAAAGAUCAAUUGGUAUAGAAUGAAAAAAUAAAAGUUCUCCAUGUAUAAUCCAGCAGUUAUUUUUUAACAAGUGUAUAAAGUUGGCAAUAGUCCCAUCCUCGCGUAAUCAUUUUUUAAAGGUGAGAGAUGCGGCUUCGCGUCACGUGCUUGCCGCUAGACCAAUGAGAUGGCAUAACGUCGGAACGACAUGUAAACAUGGUCCAAGAUGGCAGCGCCCUUGUCGUCACUAUCGAGUAGCGAAGAGGAUUAAAUUAUUGUCAGACCUCCACCAAAAGUCAGUAAAAGGGUUUAUAACCAAUGCUAUAUGCAUCUCACGUCCAUAAAAAAAGAAGAAGCGAAGGAUUUUACACGCACACGGUGGGAUACAUUUAGAAACUGCAUCAAACGGUGGCUUGACUUGCAGGGUGAGAGUCAGAAAAUAGCAGAAACAUAUAAACAUUGUCUAGAAAUCGAGUUUGACCGUGUGCCCGAAGACGCAGGGUUUCACUCCAUUUGCUACCGGCGUUUUAUUGACAAAAAGCGCUUGGAUGCGGCCGAGAAACGAGUUUCACGGCGUCCUGAAGCUGGUGAUGAUCAUAACACAGACCAGUCUGUGUCAUCGGGAAAUAGUAUUUCGUCAACGUAUUGCCCAACAAAAAAACUUAGGUCCAGUACCGGACUGCUGAUAGCUUGUUCGGGUCCUGUACUUCCUGCUUUGUGCAUAAUUUGCAAGAAAACGGACAAGUACAUCACUGUGGCAGGCAAACGCCAGAAGGACAAUCUUUCACAAGCGGAGACGCUGUCGGCAGGCCAGUUGCUCAAAGCAGCUGAGAUGAAGGAAGACACUAGCAUUCUUGUGCAUAUUAAAGACAAAGACUGUGUCUCUGGAAGUAUGAUAUCACAAGUCCUGUUACAGACAGUACACCAGGUUCUUGACAAAGUCUACUGGAACAAAUACACAGACCUCAGAAGAACAGUAAGUUGUUAUAUUGCAUUUUAAAAUAAUUCAUAAUUGAUUUGAAUGAUUGCUAAUUUGAAAAGAAAUUAAUCAUUAAUCUACAUGGACAGCUUGUUACAAUAAUUCAGCAUAAUAAAAUGUCUAGUCAUUUGUGAGGGCAAAAGAAUAUUUAAAAUAAUUUAUUGUAAAUAUUUUCUUUCUGAAGAAUAAAAAAAACUCAAUUGGUUUGUCAGUUGCUUUUAGUUUGUACAUGCAUACAAUAUAUGCAUUCCAAAUAUAGAAGCCAGUGUAAUAGUUACAGAACAUAAAAUAUUUGAUGCUUUUAAUAGCAAUGAGCCAACCUAUGAUGUCAGCUACAAGAUCUUCUCUGAGAGAAUCAUCUGCCAUCGAAUAAUUGUAAACCAAGAGGUAAAAAUUUAUGGACGGGAUCAAAAGACACCAACACAAUCGAAGAAGUUUCUGUCGGAUGGGACAAACAAAGAAGCACUGGCAGAAUUCCUCUAUGUAAUGUGGCGAGACGCUGAUCUUACCAUUUUAGGUAAGGACUUACAUUUAUACAUAACACAUGGAGACCUGUGUCACUGCAUGGCUGUAACAGAGGAUUUACAAACUGUCAGUGAUGUUGAAAAUCUGACAUGUGAUCAUGAGGAAUGUGACACCAGGUUGUUUUUUCAUGCAAAACAUGCUGCACAGGAACACCAAACUGUAGUCAUCAAGAGCCCUGAUACUGAUGUGGCAGUGAUUGCAUUAAGUCUGCAGCCAGAUUUACCAUGCAGAUUGUAUUUUUUCACUGGGGUUGGCAACAAAACGAGGAAGGUGUCAUCAGCUCUCGGCAACAGUGUAUGUUUGGCACUCAUUGGGAUCCAUACCUUCUCAGGCUGUGACUCUACAAGUGCCUUUUAUGGCAAGGGGAAAAAAAGUCAUUUUCUGUUGCUUGCGAGAAAGAGGAAUACCUGACUGCAUUUAGAAAUCUGGGUAGCAGUUUUAAUUUGGACCAGUCUACCUUUGAAGUGCUUUGCAAAUAUGUCUGUCACCUAUAUGGCCAAUCAUGUGCUAAAAGUCUGAACGAUGCACGAUGCAAAGCAUUCUGCAUGGCAUCAUCAGCUUUGCCAGAAUGAUCCAUGCCUCCGACAAGUGAUGCUUUGUACCAACACUGCAAAAGGGCAAACUACCAAGCAGCCAUAAUGAGACAUUCUCUGAAAGGUAAAAUGUGUGCCCCUUCACCUGUUGGCAAUGGAUGGCACCUCGAGGAUGGAGAGUUAACAGUGACGUGGAUGACUAGAAAUCCAGCCCCUGAUAGUGUGUUGCAGGUUGUCCACUGCAGUUGCAAGCAAGGCAAAUGUGAGACUGGAAGAUGUUCCUGUAUGUCUGCAAAUCUGUCCUGUACAGAUUUAUGCCGCUGUCUCAAUUGCACAAAUGUUUUCCAGGAAACAGAGGAAAGAGCUACAUGUGAAGAUGGUUCUGAUGAAAGUGAUAAGGAUAGUAGUGAUGAGUAAAGGUGAUCUGUGUCACAGGUUACUUGGAUUUGAGCUGUAAUGAAGCUGCUGUAAAAUGUUUAAUAUUUGUCGUUAUUGAAAAAUUAGUGCAGCAGUCCAGCAUUUCAAGUCAUUUCAGCCAACUUGGACCAAAAACUGUUUUUAUCUUUAAUUUUGUGUGAUUCCUAAGUGCCUACUGAACAUUUUGAUAAAUACAACAUAACAAAAAUGUUUAAGUUUCAAUUUGUUCUUCAGUUUUAUUUGGUGCCAAUCAGUGAAGUUGAAGUGCGUUAUAAAAAAAAAUUGAAUUAUUUCAUGGUCUUCCUUCAAAAUUGAGUUGAUUAAUGCACCAAUACUUGUCUCAGAUAUGUAGCUACAUGUAUAAAUGUGGAUUUGACAUAUAUUUUGUUUUGAUUAAAUGCGUAUUAAUAAAGUUAUAGGCCAAACUA